rnacentral:lncRNA from 1 species
UUAUAACCUACUGGUACUGCUGAAACUGUAUAUCUCUAUAGAGUUAUGUGCCUGCAAGUGUCCCUUGUUGGCCUCCAGCUGAGGUAGUCGUUGAGCACACCUCCUUGUUGUCUGCGGUGAAGUUGUUUCCGUUGUCACGCUCAACGUUGUCCCACUGUGGGCUUCCAUGUGGACAAAGGCAGCGAGCGGCAGGUGUUUGGCCUUACAUUCCGGAAGGUGCUGGCCAGAGCAGUGCCAGCGCUGGGACCGGACAGUGAUCACUGCAUCUUGGCAGCACGGAUUCCUUUCCUCCCGCACGUAACGCUGGCAGCUCCGAUGUUCACAAUCUUUGUCUACGGUGUCGCUUUGGUUGCUUCUGUCUACCAGAAAGUGUCUGCAGGACAGGAAAGUCUCCGUCAGUGCCUGUGUACCUCCUGGUGCUGUCAUCUAUGCUUGCAGGGUUCCCUUGCCCGAAAAGGAAAGCAUAGAAUUAAAAGAAACAAAGACAAUAAUGAAAUAUAGAAAAUAACACUUUUA